AUGGAUGAAGAAACUGCUACAGAUUCCUCCCCUGGGGACGCAGUGUCUUCCAGAGACCCGGGGGAGUUCGAUGAGGAUGAAGAAAUUCACGACUUUGAGAGAAGACAAUCUCCCGAUCUGGGAGAGACCCCUAUGGACACCCUGGUUUGGCAUCAUGUGGACCAGGCGUUGACUCCAGCUCAGAGCUACACAUCGAUGUCUAGUCAAAGGGAAUCUGAUGUGGAUGGAGACAGUGAAUCCAUUACAGGGGUGAAGCUGGACAGAACCGGUUCGUUCUCCAGCUGCUACUCUUAUGACAGCGAUGACUGUGAGAAGAAAACAAGCAAGUCUAGAAGUUCAGAUGACUCCUCUGAGAGCCCUAAAACAAAUGAGUUAACCCUGGACGAGAACGAGUUCAAGCAUCCGUCUUUGACAGUGGCUUUCACUUUCACGGUGAGUGUAUUCUCAAUGUUUGGACAUUUUAUUGACUGUUUUGACCAAAAUGUGGGUCCUUUUAUAGGCCUGUGUUUUGGGGUAAAGUAGAAAAGUAUGUUUUUAAAUACCUCUGUAAUCCAGUGACUUGGAGAUCAAGCUUUUGCAGCAACAACAUGAAGCAGACCUGUUUUGAACCCCGUCCUCCUUCACAAGUACCUACAGUCGGGACCAUAAAUAUCUGGACAGAGAGCCCUUUUUUUCUGAUUUUGUUUCUGUACAUUACCACAGUGAAUUUUAAAUAAACUCAGAUGCCAUUGAAGUGCAGACUUUCAGAUUUUAUUCCAUGGGUUGAACAAAAAGAUUGCAUAAAAAUGUGAAAACCUAAAGCAUUUUUAAACACAAUCCCUUCAUUUCAUGGGCUCAUAAGUAAUUGGACAAUUGACUUCCAUGCUAUUGCAUGGGCAGGUGUGGGCAAUUCCCUUGUUAUGUCAUAAUGAGUGAAGCAGAUAAAAGGCCUGGAGUUGAUUAGAGGACUCAUGCUUGCAUUUUGAAGAUUUUGCUGUGAACAGACAACAAGCGGUCAAAGGAGCUCUCCAUGCAGGUGAAAGGAGCCAUCAUUAAGCUGAGAAAACAGAAAGGAAAAAAAACAUUCCAGAAAUUGCUACAGUAUUAGAAGUGGCAAAAUCAACAGUGUGGUACAUCCUGAGAAAGAAAGAAAGCACUGAUGAACUCAGCAACGCAAAAAGACCUGGACGUCCACAGUGACAACAGUGGUGGAUGAUGGCAGAAUCAUUUCUAUGGUGAAGAGGAACCGUUCACAACAGCCAACCAAGUGAACAACACUUUCCAGGAGGUAGGCGUAUCAAUAUCCAAGUCUACCAUCAAAAGAAGACUGCAUGAAAGUAGCCAGCACAGUUCUGGAAAAACAUUCUUUGGACAGAUGAAACCAAAAUCAACCUCUACCAGAAUGAUGGCAAGAGAAAAGUAUGGAAAAGGUGUGGAGAAGCUCAUGAUCCAAAGCACACUACAUCAUCAGUAAAACACUGUGGAGGCAGUGUGAUGGUCUGGGCGUGCAUGGCUGCUAGUGGCACUGGGACACUGGUGUUUAUUGAUGACGUGACACAGGACAGAAGUAGCCCAAUGAAUUCUGAGGUGUUCAGAGACAUACUGUCUGCGCAGAUCCAGGUGAAUGCAGCCAAACUGAUUGGGCGGUAUUUCAUAAUACAAAUGGACAACGACCCAAAACAAACAACCAAAGCAACUCAGGAGUUUAUUAAAGCAAAGAAGUGGAAUAUUCUUGAAUGGCCAAGUCAGUCACCUGAUCUUAAACCAGUUGAGCAUUUCACUUGUUGAAGACUAAAUUCCGGACAGAAAGGCCCACAAACAAACAGCAACUGAAAGCCGCUGGAGUAAAAGGCCUGGCAGAGCAUUCAGAAGGAGAAAACCCAGCAUCUGGUGAUGUCCAUGACUUCAAGACUUCAGGCUAUCAUUGUCAACAAAGGCUUUUACACCAAAUAUUAGUAAUGAACAUUUUGUUUUCAGUUAUUUCAUUUGUCCGAUUACUUAUGAGCCCAUGAAAUGAAGGGAUUGUGUUUAAAAUAUGCUUUAGUUUUUCAUAUUUUUAUGCAAUCUUUUUGUUCAACCCAUGGAAUAAAAGCUGAAAGUCUGCACUUCAAUGGCAUCUGAGUUGUUUUAUUUAAAAUUCCCUGUGGUAAUGUACAGAAUCUAAAUUAGAAAGAAUGUGUCUCUGUCCAAAUAUUUAUGGUACUGACUAUAUCAAUUACUUUUUUGUUUAUUUUCUACAUUAUCAAAUGUAUAUUUAUUUGCUGCAGUGAGAAAAAUCUUGCUGCAUAAACAGAUCCUCAGUACAUCCAAACUAAACCCAAAUAUUACAAUUCCUCUGCCGUGCCUUUACAGUAGGGAGUAUACACAGACAUGCAUCAAGUGAAUUAAUACCUUUAAUUUACAAAUUAUUUACCACAAGCAUAAUCGAACAAUAGGACUAGUUACUUUAGUAUUUAGUAGACGUUCCUUUUGCAAUUUGUAAUUAAACCUUUUUUCUUUUUUGGCUUUUAGCCGAUGAGCUUCGUCAGCAGCUUUUAAAUAGUUCUCAUUAAACAGGAAAUCUUCCUCACCGGGGGGCCAGAUAGGGCGGGUCAAAAGUCUGUUGAUUUUUUUUUUUCCUUUGGCCUUUGAACAUAGACUGUAAAAACGAUGGACGAAUCGAGAUGUGAUGUCACCCAUUGAAAAUGCCUUACCUCCGGCUCGCGCCAAAUGAGGCCAAAUCCCUCACCACUGCAUCCUGAUACGAGCGCCGCCAUAUUGAAACCAGUCAACAGUAAUCAUUCCAAGACUCUUUGAAUCAUCGUAUGGCAACUACUGUCGCCAAACAGGAGUGAGCUUAUUGUGAGUCCCCACUUCUUUCCACGCUGUUACCUCUUUGAACGCUGCGUUUCAGUUGACUAUGAAAUUCUGUAAAUUGGAUUUGCGAUACUAAAUCCCUAAUGAAAACACGUCAAUUCGGAAAAAACUUGAAUUUAUCAAAAACAAGUUUUUGCGCUUGGAGGAGGUUGUUUUUGAGGCCUAUCAAAAUGGAUGUAUUUCACAAAACUGCAAUGGAAACACAUUUUUUUAAUUUUAGAAUUAAAU
rnacentral:lncRNA from 1 species